rnacentral:rRNA from 1 species
GACGAACGCUGGCGGCGUGCCUAACACAUGCAAGUCGAACGGAAAGGCCCUGCUUUUGUGGGGUGCUCGAGUGGCGAACGGGUGAGUAACACGUGAGUAACCUGCCCUUGACUUUGGGAUAACUUCAGGAAACUGGGGCUAAUACCGGAUAGGAGCUCCUGCUGCAUGGUGGGGGUUGGAAAGUUUCGGCGGUUGGGGAUGGACUCGCGGCUUAUCAGCUUGUUGGUGGGGUAGUGGCUUACCAAGGCUUUGACGGGUAGCCGGCCUGAGAGGGUGACCGGCCACAUUGGGACUGAGAUACGGCCCAGACUCCUACGGGAGGCAGCAGUGGGGAAUAUUGCACAAUGGGCGGAAGCCUGAUGCAGCAACGCCGCGUGCGGGAUGACGGCCUUCGGGUUGUAAACCGCUUCCGCCUGUGACGAAGCGUGAGUGACGGUAAUGGGUAAAGAAGCACCGGCUAACUACGUG